GGCCAUAUUACAUUGAAGCAUCAGUUCUCAUACAAUCACCAGAGUUAAGCAAUGUCAAGCCUGGUUAGUAUUUAGAUGGGUGAUUGCUUGAGAAUACUAAGUGCUGUAAG